rnacentral:rRNA from 1 species
AGNAUNCGAUUAUNAUACNGNGUAGNGNAUGNGGGCAUCUAUAAUCNUUAUUUUAGAUGGUUCCAUUUGGAUUUGCGUGGUAGUUCUAAACCUAGNUGCUCAAGAUCCCGACUUCGGAAGGGAUGUAUUUAUUUUAAUUAUAACGCCCUUCGGGGCUCCCUGGNGAUUCACCUGGAAAGGGAAUAUUUAGGACGUGCACCAGCGAUGGGAGGUUUUCCUUUCCACCCUAUCAAUUUUUUGGGCCUCGNCAAUCUUUCCGGUGAUUCAUAAUAACUUGAUCGGANCGCGUACGGUGGCUUAUAUUUGUUAUUAUAUCUUCGGAUUUUAAUAGCAAAUAUAAGUCGGCGACGAUUCAUUCGAAUUUCUGCCCCAUCAACUCUCGAUGGUAGGAUAGAGGCCUACCAUGGUCGCAACGGGUAACGGGGNANGGAACCAUCAAGUAAACUAUCNGGUUUGGGGGGGCGGGGNUUNUGUGUGGNGNA